rfam:Ovis aries breed Texel chromosome 2, whole genome shotgun sequence.
UCCCUGGUGGUCCAGUGGUUAAGACUCUGAGCUUCCAGUGCAGGGGCCUGGGUUCCAUCCCUGGUCAGGGAU